CCAAUAGCGUAUAUUAAAGUUGUUGCAGUUAAAAAGCUCGUAGUUGAACUUCGGGGUCUACCCAUUGGUCAGGCUUAAUUGUCUGCACUGGUGAGAUGGAUCUCUACCUUCUGAGGAACUUUCAUGCCAUUUAUUUGGUGUGGUUGGAAAUCAGGACUGUUACUUUGAAAAAAUUAGAGUGUUUAAAGCAGACUAUCGUCUGAAUACAUUAGCAUGGAAUAAUGAAAUAGGACGGACUGAUUCUAUUUCGUUGGUUUCUAGGAUCACCGUAAUGAUUAAUAGGGAUAGUUGGGGGCAUUAGUAUUCAAUUGUCAGAGGUGAAAUUCUUGGAUUUAUUGAAGACUAACUACUGCGAAAGCAUUUGCCAAGGAUGUUUUCAUUAAUCAAGAACGAAAGUUAGGGGAUCGAAGACGAUCAGAUACCGUCGUAGUCUUAACCAUAAACUAUGCCGACUAGGGAUCGGACGAAGUUAAUUUUAUAAUGACGCGUUCGGCACCUUACG
rnacentral:sRNA from 1 species